AUCAACUUAGCCUUCAUCUUUGACCCAACUUUGGUACCUAUGUACGUUGGUCUUCUCGUGACUCCAUCUCCUAGAUCAAUUUCUUUGAGUGGGUCUUGUGCUUGCAUUUUGUGCAGCUCAUUUAAUGGGUUUUUCUCAAACCCCAAAGGCUCAUUGUCAUAGAUGCAAUCGAGCCUCCGGCUUUUUGAAGCUGUUGUUUGGUCUCGUCGACCAUCUUCUAUCUCUUUGGCUUUGAGAGCCAAGUUUUGAAGUCUCUCU
rnacentral:lncRNA from 1 species